rnacentral:rRNA from 1 species
GGGGAAUAUUGGACAAUGGGGGGAACCCUGAUCCAGCCAUGCCGCGUGUGUGAAGAAGGCCUUCGGGUUGUAAAGCACUUUCAGCGGGGAGGAAGGCGGUGAGGUUAAUAACCUCACCGAUUGACGUUACCCGCAGAAGAAGCACCGGCUAACUCCGUGCCAGCAGCCGCGGUAAUCCGGCGGGUGCAAGCGUUAAUCGGAAUUACUGGGCGUAAAGCGCACGCAGGCGGUCUGUCAAGUCGGAUGUGAAAUCCCCGGGCUCAACCUGGGAACUGCAUUCGAAACUGGCAGGCUAGAGUCUUGUAGAGGGGGGUAGAAUUCCAGGUGUAGCGGUGAAAUGCGUAGAGAUCUGGAGGAAUACCGGUGGCGAAGGCGGCCCCCUGGACAAAGACUGACGCUCAGGUGCGAAAGCGUGGGGAGCAAAC